UAAUAAGAUCAUGUUACGUACAUGCUCAUGGUCAGGAGGUAUGCUCCAUGCACGGAGUGCUCCCAUCCUAUUUGAAGUUGCGCAUGCCGCCCUAGAAGAAGGAGAAGGAGGUUUGCUAAUUUCACACACACAUAGUGGUCCCAUCCUCUCUGAAGUUCCAUCUACCACCGAAGAAGAAAAAGAAGGACCAGAGAUACAAGAGAUUUCAUCUGAGUAGCUCCAGCAAAGGCAAUUUAUAUCAUCUGGAGGCAACCCAUCAUCCAACAAUGUUUACAGUUCAUCAUGUGGCUGUUUCUUGCUUUUCACUUGCAAUCUCCAUUAAUAAAUUUGCAUACUCUUGUUCUUCCUGUCAGAUGGGCAAAAGACUUAAAACUUUCUCUUUAUAAUAUGUAUAUUUGUAGCCAAUUGACCUUUGUAAUUAACAUUUUCUGAUGUGGGGACAGACAUACUCCCUUGUCAUCUAUUCAAGGUUUCAUUAUA